AUACUUACCUGAGUCUAUGGGCGAUCAAGAAGGCUCAAGGCUUAAGUUGGUGACCUCCAUUGCACUUUGGAGGGGUGCCCGCCUAUGGUCUCCUCAACGUAGGAGAGCCAACGUCAUGAUUUGUUGCAGUGGGGGCCUGCGUUCACGCGGCCCAUU
rnacentral:snRNA from 2 species